CCGAAGGUACUGCGGAGACAUUACUGUUUUCCGUAAAUCGGAGUUUGGAAACGAGAAACGGAGAAAAAGUGGCAAACCAGGAGUGCGGUCUCAGGCACGCAGUGCGUCUCGCGACCGUUUUAAAUGCCCUUCGCCCGUUUCCUUGGCACUCCAGGGAAUAAAUUCCCGGUCGGUCUCCUCCGGAGAACCGUCUUUUAUUCUAAAAAAAAUUGGACAGAAAUCCUAAACGGUGGAUCACUCGGCUCGUGGAUCGAUGAAGGACGCAGCAAACUGCGCGUCGAAUUGUGAACUGCAGGACACAUGAACAUCGACGCUUCGAACGCACAUUGCAGCCCACGGAUUCUGUUCCCGGGUUACGCCUGGCUGAGGGCCGGCAAUCGAGUUUAGACGCCUCCGGGCUGUGUAACAGGGACGAGGUGGUACGUCCUUUGGAAACCCUCUCUGCCGGACCGAUCGGGGCACCGAGAGGGACGGGUCGGCCCGUCGCCUCCGGUCGCGGUGACGCUUCGUUCUCUCAAUCGAGGCGGCGUCCGCGAGCGACCGGAAAGGGCGACGGCGCGCGAACGAGCCCGUUCCCUCGGAAGCCCCGUUCAUUACGCCGACCUCAGAGCAGGUGAGACUACCCGCUGAAUUUAAGCAUAUUAAUAAGCGGAGGAAAAGAAACUAACCAGGAUUCCCUUAGAGG
rnacentral:rRNA from 1 species